rnacentral:rRNA from 1 species
CCGAUUGAAUGGUUUAGUGAGGCCUCCUGACGGGCGCCGAUACUCUGGCAACAGAGCGCCGGAUGCCGGAAAGUUGGUCAAACUUGAUCAUUUAGAGGAAGUAGAAGUCGUAACAAGGUUUCCGUAGGUGAACCUGCGGAAGGAUCAUUACCGAUGCAAUCCAAAAACAACUCCGUUGUUUGCUCUGUGAACUGUACCAAACCAUUUAGGGGUCAGUCCGGGCCGUUAAAUGGCCAUCGGACGCGCAACCGCGUGGCCGCCUCGCCUGCCCCGCCUGUGUUUUUCCUGUCGCCAAUGUACGUGUCUAUUGUCUGAUGUGACUGUGACGGCGUCCGCCGACCGGCGGUUCGCCCGAAAGUUGGAAAGAAAAAUGCCAGAGACAACUUUUGACGGUGGAUCUCUUGGCUCACGCAUCGGUGAAGAACGUGGCCAGCUGCAAUAAGUAGUUUGAAUUGCAGAAUUCAGUGAAUCAUCGAAUCUUUGAACGCAAAUGGCGCUCUUGGGUUCUCCCAGGAGCAUGUCUGUCUGAGUGUCGGAUAUCAUCCAUCACAGGCAAAAACUUGCCGGCGGCGUUGAGGCGUCACGGCCACCCAGUGGGAGCGCCGUGUCCCUUGAAAGGCAGAGAGUCUCACUGCGGUUGCCGAGUUUUUCCCGCGGCACACCAGCGGAGGCUAAAAGUGUGACCAGUCCCUUGCGUGCCUCGGGUGCCCGCCGCUCGAGUGGCGGAGGCGAAGCAUACCUUCUUGACCUCAGAUCAGGCAAGGCUACCCGCUGAAUUUAAGCAUAUUAAUAAGCGGAGGAAAAGAAACUAAUAAGGAUUCCCUCGGUAACGGCGAGUGAAGCGGGAAGAGCUCAAAUUUGAAAUCUCCGAUGCCUGCAUCGGCGAGUUAUAGUUGCGAGAAGCACUUUCUAGGUGGAUCGGCGGUGCCUAAGUUGCUUGGAACAGCAGGUCGCAGAGGGUGACAACCCCGUCUGUGGCUCCGCCGGCCGCUGACGAUGUGCUUUCGUA